GGACAGAGGUGCACCCAGGUACUGGGGUGGGAUACGUAUGUGGACAGAGGUGCACUCAGGUACUGGGGUGGGAGACGUAUGUGGACAGAGGUGCACCCAGGUACUUGGGUGGGAGAUGUGUGGACAGAGGUGCACCCAGGUACUGGGGUGGGAUACGUAUGUGGACAGAGGUGCACUCAGGUACUGGGGUGGGAGACGUAUGUGGACAGAGGUGCUUGGCUCA